rnacentral:rRNA from 1 species
UACGUAGGCAGCAAGCGUUGUUCGGAAUUACUGGGCGUAAAGAGUGUGUAGGCGGUGCUCUAAGUUCGGUGUGAAAUCUCCCGGCUCAACUGGGAGGGUGCGCCGAAAACUGGGGUGCUGGAGCGCGGGAGAGGAAAGCGGAAUUCCUGGUGUAGCGGUGGAAUGCGUAGAGAUCCGGAAGAACACCGGUGGCGAAGGCGGCCUGCUGGGCAGUAGCUGGACACUGAGGCGCGACAGCGUGGGGAGCAAACAGG